rnacentral:rRNA from 1 species
CGCGUAGGCGGCUUACCAAGUCCGGGGUGAAAUUUUGCGGCUUAACCGUAACAGUGCCUUGGAUACUGGUAGGCUCGAGGGAGAUAGGGGUUUGCGGAACUUCCGGUGGAGCGGUGAAAUGCGUUGAUAUCGGAAGGAACGCCGGUGGCGAAAGCGGCAAACUGGAUCUCUUCUGACGCUGAGGCGCGAAAGCUAGGGGAGCAAACG